UGGGGAAUAUUGCACAAUGGGCGCAAGCCUGAUGCAGCCAUGUCGCGUGUAUGAAGAAGGCCUUCGGGUUGUAAAGUACUUUCAGCGGGGAGGAAGGGAGUAAAGUUAAUACCUUUGCUCAUUGACGUUACCCGCAGAAGAAGCACCGGCUAACUCCGUGCCAGCAGCCGCGGUAAUACGGAGGGUGCAAGCGUUAAUCGGAAUUACUGGGCGUAAAGCGCACGCAGGCGGUUUGUUAAGUCAGAUGUGAAAUCCCCGGGCUCAACCUGGGAACUGCAUCUGAUACUGGCAAGCUUGAGUCUCGUAGAGGGGGGUAGAAUUCCAGGUGUAGCGAUGAAAUGCGUAGAGAUCUGGAGGAAUAACGGUGGCGAAGGCGGCCCCCUGGACGAAGACUGACGCUCAGGUGCGAAAGCGUGGGGAGCAAACAGG
rnacentral:rRNA from 1 species